GACGAACGCUGGCGGCGUGCUUAACACAUGCAAGUCGAGCGGUAAGGCCCUUUCGGGGGUACGACGAGCGGCGAACGGGUGAGUAACACGUGGGUGACCUGCCCUCAGCUCUGGGAUAAGCCUGGGAAACCGGGUCUAAUACUGGAUAUGACUCCAUGACGCAUGUUGUGGGGUGGAAAGCCUUGUGCGGCUGAGGAUGGGCCCGCGGCCUAUCAGCUUGUUGGUGGGGUGAGGCCUACCAAGGCGACGACGGGUAGCCGGCCUGAGAGGGCGACCGGCCACACUGGGGCUGAGACACGGCCCAGACUCCUACGGGAGGCAGCAGUGGGGAAUCUUGCGCAAUGGGCGAAAGCCUGACGCAGCGACGCCGCGUGAGGGAUGACGGCCUGG
rnacentral:rRNA from 1 species